rnacentral:piRNA from 1 species
UAAUUUAUUGAAAAAAACUUU